rnacentral:rRNA from 1 species
AUGGAUGACAUUUUGAUCCACAACUCGAUGUUGCAAGAGCAUAUUAGCCAACUCUGUGUAGUUUUUCGACUCCUAAAAGAGAACAAGGUGGUGAUCAAACGGUCCAAGUGUGAGUUUGCUACCAAACAGAUCGAAUACCUGGGGCGUCGAAUCAGUGCCGAUGGCGUCGCUACGGAUCCUGCCAAAAUCGCAGCAGUCUAG